CCUCUGGGGUGUUCCUCCUCCUCUGUGUCUGCUGGCGGUUGAUUCGAGAAGCCCCUGACUGCAGACCCGCAGACCUCAAUGUGGGCGGAGUUAAACGUUUAGCCCCGCCCACUCUCCAACAUUUGACCCCGCCGUCACCGUGAUGCUUCCUGUUUGGUGUUAUGUAUUCCCGUAUUCCUCCUGUCUCCUUCCACGCUUCGGACUGCCGCUUUCAUAUCAUAAAUAAUGGAAAAAUAUCGCUCAGACCUUGUCCCCUGUACCCUGGAGGACUUGUGGUGCAGAUGAUAAGUAUGCGUUUUAUGUGGCGAUGGAGGCACAGUGUGAAUUCAGAAAGCAAUGAGCUGCCGUUACUCCGUGGGGAGGUGAUGAAGCCUGCUGUUCUCCAAAUGGACCCUGCAAAUUAGAUAAAUGCACUUCAGGACAUCCUAGAAGAACAACUGGAUGAGCACCAAGACGACAUGGAAACAUUCUUCAAACUUUGUGUUGUUGAACAACACUUAAAAAUCAAUGCCAUGUUCCUCGAAGAGUGAUAUAAUACGAUCCGUACCUGAGAUCCAGACCUGGGGCCUGUUUCACAAAACCAAGAUAAAGGAUUAAACCAGGAUUUCCCAGUUAUCCUGGAUGAAUUUAGCCUUGAUUCGGUUUCACGAAAGCGCAGGCACAUAAAUCUUCAUGGAGAUUGUUUCUAGAUUUUAGAAUCCAAUUUCUUCAGUGUCUUUAUUUUCUACGUCCAUAUAUACAAGGGAGCGAGGCAUUUAAUAAGUAGAGAAGGAAACUUGUCCUCUAUAAAAAAUUAAAAAAAAAACGCGAAUGAAUAGUAGUAGAAUAAUA